rnacentral:tRNA from 1 species
GCCCCCGUAGCUCAACAGGAUAGAGCGCAGCUUUCCUAAAGCUGAGGUUGCAGGUUCGAUUCUUGCCGGGGGUACCA